rnacentral:rRNA from 1 species
UACGGAGGAUCCAAGCGUUAUCCGGAUUUAUUGGGUUUAAAGGGUGCGUAGGCGGAUUGAUAAGUUAGAGGUGAAAUGCCCGAGCUCAACUCGGGAACUGCCUCUAAUACUGUUGAUCUAGAGAGUAGAUGCGGUAGGCGGAAUGUAUGGUGUAGCGGUGAAAUGCUUAGAGAUCAUACAGAACACCGAUUGCGAAGGCAGCUUACCAAUCUAUAUCUGACGUUGAGGCACGAAAGCGCGGGGAGCAAACAGG